CAGAAAGGGGGCGAGGCGGUCACGUUAUAAGGUUGAAGUGUAUGUGUGUGAGCGAGUGUGUGUUGCGAGGGUAAACUUAGAUAUUCCUGUGAUAGUUUCUUUUUAUUAAUUUAUUUCAUAUUUUCGAAGUCAUUUAUGGUUUGCAGUGUUUUUUUUAUGCUUUAUCGAGAUUCUGGUUAACUUAUUUAUUUCCCUUAUCACUUAUCCCUUGAAUAUUAUCUUCUUUAUCACAUUAAUUAUCCAUAUCUGUUACAUUUUAUCAGUAAUUUAUGGUUUUUAGUGUGAUUUUAUAUUCCUGUAAGACAAACUAAUUCUGACUGGCUUCGUUACUCAUAUUUCCCUUAUUACUAUACGGACCAAGCAAGUUUCAGGUAAGUUUUAAUUUAAUUUUAUCCAUAUUAUAUUUCCACGCCGGUAAGUUUUGGUUUUAUUAAUAAUUCGACGAGAUAUGAAGACGCCCACCGCUUUCUCCCUCUUAGACACGUUAAUUCACCUUCAGAGCUCCCGGAAAGCCAUAAUUAAAGUGUAAAAAUAUCAAAACUAGUCUCCAGGAAAGCCAUAAUUAAGUUUAACCCUCUAAAAAUGCUUGAAAAUGGCUAUAAUAUAUCUGUGUGUGGCUUUCUUGAGUGAUUUUGAGCGGGAAAUGGGGGGGCGUCCCUAUUCUCGGCUCUGAUUGGCUGUCCUGGGGGCCUUGCUGUGCGCUGAUUGGCUGUGAGCUCCCCGCCUUUUUUUCCUGCUCUGUGAUUGGUCGCGGCACCAGGUCAGCAGCUUCCCCCUCAUUGCAACUUUGGCGCCAAAAUCUCGCUCCCUCACACACACGCCUCUUAACCUUCAAGACUCGUAGAAAACCAUAAUUAAAGUGUGCAAAGACUAAAAGUAACAUCUUGGAAAGCCACAGUAAGAGUGUAAGGCUUAAACAGGCUUGGUCGCGGUGCAAAGGACGGCUUCCCUCAUAAGAAUCUUUGCCGCCAAUUUCUCGCACCCUCACACACACGCCUCUUAACCUUCAAGACUCGUAGAAAACCAUAAUAAAAGUGUGCAAAGACUAAAACUAACAUCCCGGAAAGCCAUAGUAACGUUGUAAGGCUUAAAACAGGCUUGGAAAUAACUAUAUAUGUGUGUACGGACCCGACAUUUUCUCGCUCCUUCACACUCACGCCUCUAAACCUUCAAAGCUCCAAGAAAACCAUAAUUAAAGUGUGCAAAGACUAAUUCUAACUUCCCGGAAAGCCAUAGUAACAUUGUAAGGCUUAAAACAGGCUUGGAAAUAACUAUAAUAUAUCUUUGGCUUUGGCGGGAGAGGGCACCGUCCCUAUUCUGUGCUCUGAUUGGCUGCCCGGAGCUUCCUGUGCGCUGAUUGGCUGGGAGUCUUCGCGUCCACACAGCCAUGGCCAUCUGUCAACCCCACGCCAUGGCCCCGCUGGCUCCCACUAUUUCUUGCCUCCACGAGCUUGCCAGGGACUUGUGGAGUGUAAUUUGAGUUGCCCUGACACAACAUGUAAGGGGCAGAAACAAGAUUACAGCACCCAAUACCUACCACGACAUGCUACCACACACAAUACUAGCACAGCCAUACCAAGAAAACAAGGUGGACAUUUUAGAACUAUUGUUAUGUAAAGAAGCAAUAAGACUGUGAAGUCAAGAAAGACCUGAUCAGAAGCAUGGGGAAGAAGAGAAGAAGAAAACUGACCUCUUUUACAAUACACAGGUUACUGGACCCCUCCCUUUUACACAGACUACUACUACUACUAUUACUACCACCAUAUUGCAGCUUUAAUCAAGAAACUUGAAACAGAUGCAUAAACAGAAGGAAGGAAAUUAAAUAUAUGCAAGAAUUUUGGAAGAAUCGCUUAAAAUCCGAGAAGAGACGGCAGCACUCAACCAGGCACAAGAAAAUCAAGAAGUGGAGGCUCCGAACUGCACUGAACUGAACUGUAAACUUUAUCAGAAGGGAGGAUAUUAAAUAUACUCAAGAAUUUUAGAAGAAUCGCUUAAAAAUCAGAGAAGAGAAGACAGCACAACCAAGCACAAGAAGACCAUUUAGAGGGGCAAAGGCAACCCUCCGAACAGAACUGGAAACAAACAGAAGGGAGGAAAUUAAAUAUACUCAAGACUUUUAGAAGAAUCGCUUAAAGUUGGAGAAGAAAAGGCAGCACAACCAGGCACAAGAAGACCAUUUAGAGGGGCCGCUGCAAAGGCACUCCCUCCGAACUACACUGCACUGAACUGACCUGGUUACGGCGCCUGUGCAAGUGACCCGGGAUGGAGUAUUGGCGGCAGGGCAGCUCUACGAAAGCUGCUGUGGGAGUGCUGCCCUCCACAGCAAGCAAGGGGCUGCCCUGCCCAGACCACAGCAAGAGGAGGAAGAGCUCUGCAUUACUAAGUUAAGUACCUCACUAUGACAUUCUGAGGGUUAGGCUUCAUUUUUGCCUUCUAUUUAAAACUUUUUACUUUCUAAUGAACCUUAAUCUUUUUCUCAGCCUGCCUCCUCCUCCUCCUCCUCCUUCAACUUCCUUUACCUCCUUGUGUGAAUCUGUCCGUCCCGAGAUCCGGCGAGACCAUCCCGACGUCGUAACACCCGUUUGGGAGUGGGGGGACUCAUGAAGCUGUCGGCGGCAGCCCUAAGGUGGGUAGGGUUGCGCCGACACCUCCACUCCGUUUCGGCGGAAUGUGGCUGGCUAGGGUGGCCUGAACCACUGUCUGGGUUGUUUGUCGUUCAGUCGGAUUGAGGAUCUGCCUCCCUUGAGGUGCACAUGUCAUAGUGGUGGCAGAAGCGAGUGUGAGUGAAGCUGAUGUCAUCCCGACGUCGUAACACCGUUGGGCGGGGCGGGGCUCUCAUGUCAAGUCUCCCCGCGGUGCACAUGUCACAGAGGUGCAAAGAGCAUGGCCUUCUUUCCUAUCUUUUCCCCCUCCUCCUCCUCCACCCCCACCCCCACACACACCUCCUGCUGUUAUAUCGUCACCCUCAUAAAGUAAUUGCCUAAGUCAUUUUUCAGUGAUUUCCAUUUUUGUUAACUUGUCUUAGAUAUUCAGGGUUUGAGUGUUCUACAAUUGCCCUUUUUAUUUCUGCCUAAAUCUUAAGCCAAAUGAGAUGAUGACGUUCUCUUCUUGAAAAAUAGAAAAUAACGACUUGGGCGGUUUCUUUACGAAGGUGGCGAGAUUGUAAUAGGUUUUGCACCCUCUAUUUAGGGAUGUGCACUAAUUUUUGUCUCUUCUCUUCCCCUCCUCCUCCCCUGGCUGGCCGGGGAACGGAGGAGGAGCACUAGGACGAGGAGGUGAAGGGAGGCGGAGGGAGAGACGACUCGAGCACAGGGAGGCAAGAGACAAGAAGCAGAGACGCAGGAACAGAAAGGCAGCCAGAUGGUCGAUGCUGUGAAGAGGAGGAAGAUGACUGCAGGAGGCGGUGUGUGUGUGUUGGGGAAGGAGACGACGGCACCAACCUCACACACAGCUGGUUAAGGCCUGCAAGAGAGCCUAGUCAAUGAAGAGGAAAAGAAGACAAGAAUAAAGAAGACAAGAAGAAAGAAGAGAGGCAAAACAGGAGGAGGGGAUUUUUUUUCUGUCUAUACCUGAAGUGUGAUGAAUUUACUAAGGGUAUAUUUAAGCCUGAUAUAACGUACUUUAAGGUAUAUUUAAUGGUACAAGUGUGUAGCCUACUUUUGCCUGGAGUUGGAGACGGUAAAAUGCUCUCCGACUCCUUUAUUGUGGUGCUGUGUGGUUUGUUUACUGUGGUGCGAUGUGGGUCAUUUACUGUGGUGCGGUGUGGCUCGUUAACUGAGGUGAGGUAUGGUUCGUUUAUUGUAGUGCGGUAUGGUUCGUUUACUGUGGUGCGGUGCGGCUCGUUAAUUAAGGUGAGGUGUGGUCCAUUUAUUGUGGUGCGGUGUGGUUCGUUAAUUAAGGUCAGGUAUGGUUCGUUUAUUGUAGUGCGGUAUGGUUCGUUUACUGUGGUGCGGUGUGGCUCGUUAAUUAAGGUGAGGUGUGGUUCGUUUAUUGUGGUGCGGUGUGGCGUUGCGGGCUUUACUUUCCCUACCACUGCACCAGACAAGGGUAAGGGGGAGGGGGUGGAGUCAAAUUUUUUUAUAUCUGACUCCACACCCUUGUUAGAGUGUAAGAGUAUUGAUGGAAUAUAUUUAAGGUGCUGGGGGAUACUGUGGUGCGCUUGUCGCGGCAACCCAUUCUGCUUCUGCAUAACCCGUACUGCUGCAUGACGCAUAGCAACUCGUGUUUUUUCUGCUUCUGCAUAACCCGUACUGCUGCAUGACGCAUAGCAACUCGUGUUUUUUCCGCUGUUGCAACGACCCGUACUGCUAACGCAUAACGACCUGUGCUGCUUCUGCUAUUGUAACAACUCUUACUGCAAUAACUUACUGCUGCUUCCAUUUAAAAACGUAUUGUGUCCGCUGCUUCUAUUAUUACAACCACCCACACUGCUGCUGCUGCCCAGGUCUUCAAACAGUGGCUUGCUUGACGUGAAGCAUUGGCCAAGCAGGUCAUGCAUCAUGGCAGUCACUAGAGAUAAAAUUCGCCUGUGCCACUUCUGCUGUUGCAUAAACCCGCUGUGUUGCUAACUUGGCAACCACCCAACUAAUGAAUUUUCUGAUCAAAGAUCAAAGAGAGGAUUAGGCCUUCAGGGGACACCUCUUAAAUAAAAACGCGCCUGGGACUUUUACCUCAGAGGUGGUGUGGAAAAAAAGUCCAGUCACGAAAAUAAGUAUCUUAUACUCCAUGAAAGUGUCUCAGUCUUAUGAGAACACAAAGGUUGAGAGGGCUCAAACAUUCUGUUGUUUCCCGCAUAUGCUCCCAUGUUAGCAGUAAGGGCACUAAAUUCUGAUCUCUGUACAAAACAACCAAAUAUACAUAAUAACGAACAGAAAGUUAAAUAAAAUGUUUGCCUGCAUUACCCGUCAGCAGCGUAGACGUAACAAGGGUUGAAAAAAUGACUUAUUUAUUACAGCCGCUGGCCAACGCCUUGACCCCAGAGGCUUUGUGUUUGUCUCCGCGUCCUCCGCACUACACUGCACAGAAUCUGGCGAGCCUGGGUUGUGACAGCUAUUUCCCAAAGCCUCCAAGGAUACCAGUCAGGCUUAUGAGUGUUUUUCGUGUUGUUGGGGAAGCUCGCAAAUCUACACCUGGAAAUACUACUACCAACACAACCCAUAUGAAAGCCUUUCCUAAAACAUAAAACCUCUACCAGUGCCUUACCAGAAAGAACCAAAGCUUACCAAAUACCCAAAAAUCUCUACUAUUUGUGGUUGACUCAAGGUAUUGAAUUUUCACUUAUUUUUUAUAAUGACGUUAGUGUCCCUCAUAUGUCGUGUCAUUGAGGGAGUGUUUGUGUCUAUUAUUUGUUCUAUAUAUAAGGUAUUGAAUUUCCACUGAUUUUUUUAUACUUCUGUUACUGUCCCUCAUAUGUUGUGUCAUUGAGGGAGUGUUUGGGUCUAUCAUUUUUGUUUUGAUGCCCCUUUCAUGGAUCUAAAUAAUGACAUCCACCUUAAAAUAAAUGUAUGUGUCUGUGGUCAUCCCAAAGCUGAAGGUUGGUAUCUACUCCACUGUUUUUCAUGUUUUCUCGGACAGUUCAUAUUAUUAGCAAAUGUUUUUACCCGUCCGCUGUGAUUGGCACGGAUUUCGCCUUCACUGGUAACCUGGUAACAUGUACUCCCAAAUCAUUCUUUGUCUCUGGUGGAUAGUGGAGUGUUUCCCAUGUGGUAUUGGUGUGCUGGAUAUCCCUUCACUGGUAGCCUGGUAACAUAUGUACUCCCAGAUCAUUCUUUGUCUCUGUGGUGGAUAGUGGAGUGCUUCCCACGUGGUACUGGUGUGGUGGAUAUCCCCUCCCAAGGUGCAGGACUAUAUAUUUUUCUUCACUGAAUUGUAGCAGCCACUUUUUGCUCCACUCCUGUAGCUUGGUGAUGUCUUCUUGUAGGAAAUCCACAGUGAAGGGUUUAAGCAAGUGAGAUUUUACCCUCCCAUGACCAGUGUACAGAAGGGACCCUGUAGUUGUUUGAAGGAAUAUUACCGGAUUGAUUAACUAGAUGGUACAUAUUAGAUUAGGGCAAAAUGUGAGAAUGGGGGCAGGAGACUGGCUUCAACUAGAGGGUAUAAUAUAGAUUGACCUUGUAGUUGUUUGAAGGAAUAUUACUGGACUUGGGAGAGAGUGUGGAGGGAGGAGGAGAAAUAUUGAUAAUAGACGAUAGUGAUCCUUUAUAUGGUGAUGAAGGGAAUGGUGAUAGGUACUGGUGAUGAUAAUGGUGAUGUUAUAGUGAUGGAGGGAGGGAUGUGGCAGGUGGUUGGAUGAGAGGUGAAGGGGGAUGGGGAGGAAGGGGAGGUGAGGGGAAGAGGAGGAAGCGUGGGGGGUGAAUGGGGAGAGGGAGGGAAUGGGUAAGAAGGGAGAAGGGAGGAGAUGAAUACAUAGGAAUACAUAAGAACAUAAGAACGCAGGAGUCUGCAAGAGGCCGGUAGGCCUGUACGAGGCAGCUCCUUUGACCCUAAGCUCCCGUGUAUCUAACCCCACCUAAUAUCGCUGUCCAUGAAUUUAUCUAGUCUAUUUUUGAAUGUGACAAUUGUAUUGGCACUCACCACAUGACUGCUAAGCCUAUUCCACUCAUCCACCACCCUGUUAGUAAACCAAUUUUUGCCUAUGUCCCUGUUGAAUCUGAAUUUAUCCAGUUUAAACCCGUUACUUCGUGUCCUACCCGGUUCUCUUACCAACAAAACCUUAUGAAUGUCUCCCUUAUUAAAGCCCUUCAUCCAUUUAUAAACCUCGAUCAUGUCUCCACGCACCCUUCGCCUUUCUAGAGAAUGCAAGUUUAACUGUUUGAGUCUUUCCUCGUAUGGCAAGUUUCUCAACCCCUGAAUCAUCUUAGUCAUCCUCCUCUGCACCGAUUCUAACAUUUUGAUAUCCAUUCUAUAGUAGGGUGACCAGAACUGAACCGCACCAGAAGACCUAUCAGUCUAUGGCGAGGGUGUCUGUUUACUACCGCUACUACUAGAAAUCUACGUGUGGUAGGACAGGACAGAAAAGAUGAAGGGGUGGGAGGUGGAGAGGGGUUGAGGGGUGCGAGGGCUGGCUGGGCUCUUCCCAUUGUGUGGCCCCUCUUGACAGGCUGUGUGUGUGUGUGUGUGUGUGUGU